rnacentral:rRNA from 1 species
AUUGAACGCUGGCGGCAUGCUUUACACAUGCAAGUCGAACGGCAGCGCGGGCUUCGGCCUGGCGGCGAGUGGCGAACGGGUGAGUAAUACAUCGGAACGUGCCCAGUAGUGGGGGAUAGCUCGGCGAAAGCCGGAUUAAUACCGCAUACGACCUGAGGGUGAAAGCGGGGGAUCUUCGGACCUCGCGCUAUUGGAGCGGUCGAUGGCAGAUUAGCUAGUUGGUGGGGUAAAGGCCUACCAAGGCGACGAUCUGUAGCUGGCCUGAGAGGACGACCAGCCACACUGGGACUGAGACACGGCCCAGACUCCUACGGGAGGCAGCAGUGGGGAAUUUUGGACAAUGGGCGAAAGCCUGAUCCAGCAAUGCCGCGUGUGUGAUGAAGGCCUUCGGGUUGUAAAGCACUUUUGGCGGGAACGAAAAGGACUGUGCCAAUACCACGGUUCGAUGACGGUACCCGCAGAAUAAGCACCGGCUAACUACGUG